GACUAACUCUGUACAUGGAAAGGGGAGAAUUCCGGUGACUGAGUAACGUGUCCUCUUCCCUACUCUGUCUGCUGUGGCACUUGGGUUCCGGUGUUCUAGCUAUUCAAAGAAGAAUUCUCUCCUGUGAAAGAUGGGGUGAAGUUAGUGAAUGACCUGGCCCACCAGCUUGCCAUCUCUGAUGUGCACUUGUCAAUGGAGAAUUCCAGGGCUCUGGAACAGAUCAACAUCCGGUGGAAACAGCUCCAGGUGUCAGUGGCUGAGAGGCUUAAGCAACUCCAGGAUGCCCACCGGGACUUUGGGCCUGGGUCACAGCACUUCCUCUCCACUUCUGUCCAAGUUCCCUGGGAAAGAGCAAUUUCUCCCAAUAAAGUCCCCUACUACAUCAAGUGAGUGGUCAUCAGAACCAGAAGCCGGUCAGUCACCUGCCUAGCCCCUCCAUCUCCUGUCCUUCUGUCACUUCUUGUGCAUUGAGAUUCCCCUGAUUAGUCUAACGCUUCCUCCAACUUUUAAGAAGUAC
rnacentral:lncRNA from 1 species